AGCUUGUCCAGCCCCAAGUGGGGAUGGAGUGGGGACAGGUGGGCUGAAAGCAGCAGGACUUGGUGCGUGACUGGAAGUGGCAGACAGCAGCUGGACCAUGAUCUCCUGGAUGUGGUGAUAGGUGAAGGCCUGUAACACAGUGAGAGACAUCUGUGUGAUAACCAGGACACUGUAUCUGCACAAUUGGCCAAAGGACACAGACAAGAGUGGUCAGACAUGGUGAUCUUCAACACCAUCACCAACACCACCACUGCCAUUAUCAUCAUCAUCAUCAUAAUUGCCGUCGUCAUCUUCAUAUCUCCAUCACCAUCACCACCUGCACUGGGCAUAAGAAAUUCCACUAGUCACCUUAAAUAUAAGUAUGCAGCAUCUAGAAGUAGUCAUCUACCCCCAGGUUUCUGCGACCUGGAGUGAAUUGAGAUCCUUGAGAAGCUGCCUAAACAGCAGGUUGUAUCUCCUCUCCAACCCCCUGCCCUACCAAAAAAUGAGAUGGCCAGGUUAAUAUCCAUUAUAGUCCAAUACAUC